AAAAAGGCCAAAGGUCAGUUUGUUAUAUCUGGAGUACUUCUCCUGUCGUAUCCGGUGUCCUGCGUGAAUUUAAGUAUGCUCUCUCUAAUUCUCUCUUUCUUUCUCUCUCUCGGAGGACCUGAGCCCUAGGACCAUGCCUCAGGACUACCUGGCCGUGCUGCUGCUCCAGUUUCAACUAUUUUGCCUGCGGCUAUUGAACCCUGACCUGUCACAACCCAGCUUCAAGUGGUGUCAUAUUUCACAUCAUCCUGCUUCAUACAGGCAAAUAGAGACAUACUCCUGAAUUUACAUCUAAGAGGUUUUAAAAUUACAGCAAUAACUUGACACAGAGGCUAUUCUCUUUAAUAUUACAGCAAUAACCGUACACACAAGAGUUGUGACUAUAUUCUCUGGAAUAUUACAGCCAUAUUUUAUUACAAUAUUACAGCCAUAUCUUACAUUGUACAAAUCCAUCUUCCUCCCAGACAGACUGAUGCUGCUGAUUCAUAUAUAUAUAUAUAUAAUGAAAUGAGACAAAGGUGUUAUCCCUUUAUGGGUGUUGAAGAGGUGAGAAACAUCGCCCCUGCCUGGUCAACAGACAGCAUUACAACAUCAGAGAGAAGUGGUCCAAUGUUCAGGGUCGUAAGAUUCAUUAGUUCACACCUUUUUCAAAAAUGUAGCAAAUCGUUUUGCAAAUUUGGAUUUCUUAUUGGACAAGUCCGGGUACAACCCUCCCUGUUUCAGACAGUUUUCUUACAUUUGGUGCUUAAUGAAUAGGACCCAGUUGUGUUGGGAUUGGCAGGCUGUAAGAAGCUCCAGAGAGGCAAGUCUUGUUGUUAAUAUUCACAUCAACACAUAAUAAAUUAAAUUAGUGACAUAAUGUUUGAGAUGAUGUAGUUUUGCUUCUAUCAGUGGGCUGAAACGCAACAUGAUUCACUCAAACGCUUUCAGUUCCAAUUGGUCCUUCGGGUGAUUCAGGAGAAUCUGAUUCUAGAUCAGCGGAACCUUUGGAACCCACUGAAGAUUCUAGAACAGCCCGUGAAUAUUCUAGAAGAGAGAAGGAAGAGAAUCCUGGAACUCUGUUCAGGUUAGGAAUGUAAACAAACACCAUUCCAUUUCCUGUUCAAAUGGCAAUAACUUCACAGAGACAUCGCUCUGUCUUCAUAAUGGGGGUUGCGUCCCAAAUGUUACAUAUGGGCCCUGGUCAAAAGUAGUGCACUAAAUAGGGUGGGAUUUGGAACAGACUAAAGUCUUGUCAGUUAGUGAUGCAACGUGACUUUGAUACAUAUUCCAGACUCCAUUUCACUACAGUAGCAUGUCCCCUUGUAUAUGUUUUGAGGAUGUACUCGUUAUUAUAAACUGGGUGGUUUGAGCCCUGAAUGCUGAUUGGCUGAAAGUCGUGGUAUAUCAGACCGCAUACCAAAGGUAUAACAAAAAUAUAUAUUUGUACUGUUCUAAUUACAUUGGUAAUUUGUUGACAAUAGAAAUAAGGCAUCCUGGGGGGGUUUGUGGUAUAUGGCCAAUAUACCACGGCUUAAUGUCUGUAUCCAGGCACUCCUCGUUGCGUCGUGCUUAAGAACAGCCCUUAGCCGUGGUAUAUUGGCCAUAUACCACACCUCCUCUGGCCUUAUUGCUAAAGCAUAUAAUUAAAGAAUAUGUUAUGAUCAAGAUGAACAAUCAAGCAUGGAGUAAUCAACCUGCCAUUCUGACAGAAGGUAUUGGCACCCUAUUCCCAAUGUGCUCUGGUCUAAAGUAGUGCACUGUCUAGGGAAUAGGGCUCUGGUCUAAAGUAGUGCACUGUCUAGGUAAUAGGGUGCCAUUUAAAGGAAAACUCCAACCAGAAACCCCUCUUUUGGUACUUGUUUCAUUAGUCCACUGUUGAUAUAGUGCCAACAUGUGUUUGCAUGUCAGCAAUCAAGUUUUCAAGAUAUCGAACUUUCAAAAUACAGAACUACAGCCAGUUUGAUGCAUUUAGCAUCACACGAUGCUGAAUAUCAACUGGAGGGAGGAAGACAUCAGUAUAAUACAGACUGGAGAAUCAUGGCAGGAAUGGAACAAUAUAUUAACUACACCUACAAUAAUGUGCUGAGAACCAUGUUAGGUGGUCAAAGAUAUUGUAACCUGGGGGAGUUAUGGGGAGGUAAGGGGGGCGAAGAGAGGUAUGGGGUAAGGAGGGUGUUAUGGAGGGGGGAAGGGGGUGUUAUGGAGGGGAAGGGGG
ensembl:lncRNA